CGUUCUCUGCGGUACUCGACGGCAUGUGCAAACAUUCGCCUUGUCCCUUAAGAACGACACCGGGAGCGCGACAGCGCCGGGAGUGCAGGUCCGCCUUGUAGCGGGAAGCCCGAUGGUUCUCCAGCGUUCCCACUUGAGCCCCCGGGUUCAAGGUCGUUUCGCAUGCAUCGACAUUGCGGAGAAUGC
rnacentral:other from 17 species